UACGUAGGGGGCAAGCGUUGUCCGGAAUUAUUGGGCGUAAAGAGCUCGUAGGCGGUCUGUCGCGUCGGCUGUGAAAACCCGGAGCUCAACUCCGGGCCUGCAGUCGAUACGGGCAAACUGGAGUGUUGCAGGGGAGACUGGAAUUCCUGGUGUAGCGGUGAAAUGCGCAGAUAUCAGGAGGAACACCGGUGGCGAAGGCGGGUCACUGGUCCGGUACUGACGCUGAGGUGCGAAAGCGUGGGUAGCAAACGGG
rnacentral:rRNA from 1 species